rnacentral:tRNA from 1 species
GCCAACAUGGCCUAACGGUAUGGCAAGCCCCCUGUAAGGGCUAGAUUGUCGGUUCGACUCCGGCUGUUGGCU